GACGAACGCUGGCGGCAUGCCUAAUACAUGCAAGUAGGACGCAGUUGCGAACGGGUGAGUAACGCGUAGGUAACUGCCUCUUAGAGGGGGAUAACUAUUGGAAACGAUAGCUAAUACCGCAUACUAGUAGAUGGACCUGCUUUGUAUUAGCUAGUAGGUAGGGUAAUGGCCUACCUAGGCAACGAUACAUAGCCGACAUGAGAGGGUGAUCGGCAAAAAUGGGAAUGAGAAACGGCCCAGACUCCGACGGGAGGCAGCAGUAGGGAAUAUUCGGCAAUGGGGGGAACCCUGACCGAGCAACGCAGCGUGAGUGAAGAAGGUGUGCGGAUCGUAAAGCUCUGUUGUUAAGGAAGCGGUACUUAACCAGAAAGGGACGGCUAACUACGAGCCAGCAGCCGCGGUAAGAC
rnacentral:rRNA from 1 species